CCUUUCUCGCUUCAUCCGCGGUCCCUGUCUGUUUUCGUUAUGGCGCCUUGUACUUCUACCCAACGUUGCCCGCCCCCCAUCUUCCCAGCCCACCAGCUCCGUCCGCCUCUCCGGAUGAUUCGUGAGAUACCGAGCCUGCCGGGAAGGGACCGGAUUUUUCCGUCUGGUCCAAGGAAGCACGGGUUAUGGCCACAUGCGCAGUGAUAACUCAGGGCCCCACGCCUUUUGACCCGUGAGUGUUGUAGGCUUGGGGGUGACGGGAUCUGGUAAGAGCAUUUGUGCCUUUACUGGAUUACGUGCUUGGGUGCAGUAACCUUAUUAGGAUGACGCCAAUGGAAGGGCCUGUGACCAUUACCUCCGAGCGACCUUUUUGUGAUUAACCUCGCUCCUAUGUUGGGUGGAAUUUGGGUCCUACCACGUGCUAGGCGAUCGCUAUGUCAACCAUAGUAUUAAAGCCUUAAAAAAAAAAAAGUCAGGAUAAUGGGCCCUACAGAGUUGGGCAAGGAUUAUACAACCUCGGCUUUCUCGCUUUCUGAUUGCAAAAAGCCGCCAUUUUAUUCAGCUAAACCUGAUGUCCACAGCGCGUUAAAAAGCGUUUGUAGGCGGUAGGGUCAUUAAUUUGAGACUGCUUUGGGUUAUAGUCAGGAACCUAUCCCAAUGUCUAAAGCUUCACGUAUUGAACUAGGAGCCAUCGGAGCCCACAGGAUUGCCUUUUCAGGCGUCUCUCUAGUAGGCAGUGGUGAGGCAUGUGGCUUGUGGGUUUGAGGUCUAGCAAUUGCUAUCGCUGUCUGUGGCCCUUAUCGAAGCUGCAGCAGCUUCUACAUAGCUGCUGUGGUCAAAAAGGUGGCCCAGAGAAAGAAUUUUCCUUGACGGUCGCAGUUCUGUUUCCUGUAACUGAUCUGCAACAUUGUGGAAAAUGACAGCUUCACCUUACUAUUUCUCUGGAGUAUGUAGCAAUCUUUAGGCUUUUAUUCCUGGGGGGGGUGGGAGGGGAUAGGAGGUAGACCGGUGAGUGAGCUCAAUCUGAUUUACAAUUCAGGCCUGUAUUGAUCAUCUAUUGGUAAAUAAACAAUGCCUUGGUCACUGUCACAGUCCCUAUAAGGUAAUGACUGGGAAUAUGGAACAAGAUUAUUGUGGCUAAUUCUGUUGCCAUUCAUCUUAGCUGUUGAUGAAGAUUGUGAGGAGGGAGACCAGAAGAUAAUGGACAACGAUACAGCAGAAGGGUCUGGUUACACUUGAGCUUAUUUCUUGGAAGAGUCUGAGAAGACGGCCUGUCAGGCUCCUAACACUAAGGUAAUUGCUGGCUAAGACAGCCUGACCCUCCGGUUUCCCUUUCCCAUCGGAUCUUGACGCUGGUCUUGGUGGUCGUUAAGGAGGAAGAGCACCCUGAAGCUGGCCUCACAGCGAUGCAGUCUGCUGUAGAGCAGCAGGCCAGACUCAGACAUGCCUGGGCUUUGAAGUGGGAAAACUUGAGAACUGAUCAGUAUUGCUGAGUAAUGGCUUACUUUCAUGGUUUUUUUUUUUUAAGGGCCAUGUAACCAGUGAAGCAGCCAUUAUAUAUGAUUUGGUCUACACUUGUUGGAAAAAUUCCACAAGAGGAUCUCCUGGAAGCUAGCAGAAGUUUUUGGCUUGUACAUUGCCAGGCAGCCAUUGGAAUCGGAGCUGCAGUCAGAUUAAGGCCAGCCUGGCCUACAUUGAGAAACCUCAUUUUGGGAAAGUGAAAUACUUUGUCAAUUAACAUGCAGUUGGUUCAAUAAAGACUUUUGGAAAGUGUC
rnacentral:lncRNA from 1 species